AAGGAAGUAAAAGCAGAGAUUUAUUUUAAACAAAAGUACACUCCACAGUGGGAGCAGGGUUGAGCAAGUGGCUCAAGAACAUCUGUCACAGAAUUUUCUGGGUUAAAUACCCUCUAGAGGUUUCCCAUUGCUUCACUCUAUGCAAAUGACAGCUUCCCAUUGGUUCACUCUAUGCAAAUGAAGGUUUCUCAUUGGUUCACUCUAUGCAAAUGAAGGUUUCCCACUGCUUCAGUCUAUACAAAUGAAGGUUUCUCAUUGGUUCACUCUAUGCAAAUGAAGUAGCGGCCUGUGGCCCAUCUGAUUGGCUGCAGGAGGGAAACAAUCAGAAUGAAUAGGCCCCGCCCACGACCAGUCUGAUUGGUUGUGGGAGAGGACCAGAGUGAAGAGUAGGCCCACAACCAGUCUGAUUGUUUGUGGGAGGGAACCAAUCAGAGGUACUUUCAUGUUUCAACUGCCAGCAAAAAAAGGAGGGGUUGAAAAGAGGUUGCCUCUGGUAUCCAGUCAGCAGGAAUCGGCCUCAGGUUCCCUGCCUCCAGACCCGAUUCUCCUGCCUCACUAUCAGGUGCAAGACAAGGACAGGGUGUGCGCUGAGACCAUGCAGAGUCGGCCGUGUGGAAGACCGGAGUUUUAUUAUUAUUCAAAUCAGUCUCUCUGAAAACUCAGGGAUUGAGGUUUUUAAGGAUAACUUGGUGAGUAGAGGGCCAGUAAGUCGGGAGUGCUGAUUGGUCGGGUCCAAGAUAAAAUCUUAGGGAGCUGAAGCUGUCCUCUUGAGCUGAGUCCAUUCCUGGGUGGGGGCCACAAGACCAGAUGGGCCAAUUUAUCUAUUUGGGUGGUGCCAGCUGAUCCACUGAAUACAGGGUC
rnacentral:lncRNA from 10 species